GUGGGGAAUCUUCCGCAAUGGACGAAAGUCUGACGGAGCGACGCCGCGUGAGUGAAGAAGGCCUUCGGGUCGUAAAGCUCUGUCAUCAGGGACGAACGGCCGGUGGAGUGGAAAGCCACCGGAUUGACGGUACCUGAGAAGGAAGCCACGGCUAACUACGUGCCAGCAGCCGCGGUAAUACGUAGGUGGCAAGCGUUGUCCGGAAUUAUUGGGCGUAAAGCGCGCGCAGGUGGGAUCUUAAGUCCAUUUUGAAAGUUCGGAGCUCAACUCCGUGAUGGGAUGGAAACUGGGAUUCUUGAGUACCGGAGAGGAAAGCGGAAUUCCCCGUGUAGCGGUGAAAUGCGUAGAUAUGGGGAGGAACACCAGUGGCGAAGGCGGCUCACUGGCUCGAUACUGACGCUGAGGUGCGAAAGCGUGGGGAGCAAACAGGAUUAGAUACCCGUGUAGUCC
rnacentral:rRNA from 1 species